ACUCCUACGGGAGGCAGCAGUGGGGAAUAUUGCACAAUGGGGGAAAUCCUGAUGCAGCCAUGCCGCGUGUGUGAAGAAGGCCUUCGGGUUGUAAAGCACUUUCAGUAGGGAGGAAGGUAGUGUAGUUAACACCUGCAUUAUUUGUACGUUACCUACAGAAGAAGCACCGGCUAACUCCGUGCCAGCAGCCGCGGUAAGUACGGAGGGUGCGAGCGUUAAUCGGAAUUACUGGGCGUAAAGCGCAUGCAGGCGGCCUGUUAAGUCAGAUGUGAAAGCCCGGGGCUUAACCUCGGAAUUGCAUUUGAAACUGGCAGGCUAGAGUCUUGUAGAGGGGUUAGAAUUUCAGGUGUAGCGGUGAAAUGCGUAGAGAUCUGAAGGAAUACCAGUGGCGAA
rnacentral:rRNA from 1 species